AUUGAACGCUGGCGGCAGGCCUAACACAUGCAAGUCGAACGAGUGGCGGACGGGUGAGUAAUGUCUGGGAAACUGCCUGAUGGAGGGGGAUAACUACUGGAAACGGUAGCUAAUACCGCAUACCAUCGGAUGUGCCCAGAUGGGAUUAGCUAGUUAGUUGGGUAAAGGCUCACCUAGGCGACGAUCCCUAGCUGGUCUGAGAGGAGGACCAGCCAAACGUGAACUGAGACACGGUGCAGACUCCUACGGGAGGCAUCAGUGGGGAAUAGUGCACAAUGGGCGAAAGGCUGAUGCAGCCAAGGAGUGUGGGUGAAGAAGGCCUUCGGGUUGUAAAGCAGUGUCAGCCGGGAGGCGUUACCCGCAGAAGAAGCACCGGCUAACUCCGUGCCAGCAGCCGCGGUAAUAC
rnacentral:rRNA from 1 species